AGUGAACGCUGGCGGUAGGCCUAACACAUGCAAGUCGAACGGCAGCACAGUAAGAGCUUGCUCUUACGGGUGGCGAGUGGCGGACGGGUGAGGAAUACAUCGGAAUCUACUUUUUCGUGGGGGAUAACGUAGGGAAACUUACGCUAAUACCGCAUACGACCUACGGGUGAAAGCAGGGGAUCUUCGGACCUUGCGCGAUUGAAUGAGCCGAUGUCGGAUUAGCUAGUUGGCGGGGUAAAGGCCCACCAAGGCGACGAUCCGUAGCUUGUCUGAGAGGAUGAGCAGCCACACUGGAACUGAGACACGGUCCAGACCCCUACGGGAGGCAGCAGUGGGGAAUAUUGGACAAUGGGAGCAAGCCUGAUCCAGCCAUACCGCGUGGGUGAAGAAGGCCUUCGGGUUGUAAAGCCCUUUUGUUGGGAAAGAAAAGCAGCAGGUUAAUACCCCGCUGUUCUGACGGUACCCAAAGAAUAAGCACCGGCUAACUUCGUG
rnacentral:rRNA from 1 species